rnacentral:snoRNA from 1 species
UAUCUGUUAUGAUCUUAUCUCAAACUUGAAUUUCUGUUGAGAAAAACUGAUAUGGUUCUGGCUCUGAGAG